rnacentral:misc_RNA from 1 species
GAUGAAGAACGUAGCGAAAUGCGAUAAGUAAUGUGAAUUGCAGAAUUCAGUGAAUCAUCGAAUCUUUGAACGCACCUUGCGCCUUUUGGUAUUCCGAAAGGCACACCUGUUUGAGCGUCAUGAAUACCUCAAUCUCCAUCUUUUCUUCGGAUUGAUGGGUGACUUGGAUGUUGAGCCCUGCUGGUAUGCUAUAUCAGCUGGCUUUAAACUUAUUAGCCGGCUCUGUACUGGAUCGGUUUGACUCGACGUGAUAAUAUUAUCGUUGAGGAUGCAUGUCUCAUGCAGCAGGAAAGUAUCAAAGCAGCUUCUAGCUUGCCUUUAGUGCACUUUUACAUUUUAGACCUCAGAUCAGGUGGGACUACCCGCUGAACUUAAGCAUAUCAAUAAGCGGAGG